rnacentral:rRNA from 1 species
GACGAACGCUGGCGGCGUGCUUAACACAUGCAAGUCGAACGGAAAGGCCCCUUUGGUUGUACUCGCUUGGCGAACGGGUGAAUAACACGUGAGUAACCUGCUCUCGUCCUCGGGAUAACUUCAGGAAACUGGGGCUAAUACCGUAUAGGCAUACUUUCUGCAGGUUGGGGUUUGGCAAUCGUCGGCGGUUUUGGUUGUGUUGGCGGCUUAUCGGCUUGUGGGUGGUGUAGUGGCUUACCAAGGCUUUGACGGGUAGCCGGCCUGAGCGGACGAGCGGCGACAUAGGGACUGAGAGAAGGCCCAGACUGCGACGGGAGGGAGCAGGGGGGAAGAUUGAACAAUGGGCGGAGGCUUGAUGAAGAAACGCCGCGUGCGGGAUGACGGCGUUGGGGUUGUAAAACGAUUUCAGCAGGGGCGAAGCUUGUCGUGACGGUACCUGAAGAAGAAGCAACGGCUAACUACGUG